GGUUAAGCGACUAAGCGUACACGGUGGAUGCCCCGCAGUCAGAGGCGAUGAAGCUGGCGCGUUAAUCCGCGAUAAGCGCCGGUAAGGGGUGAUGAACCGUUAUAAAUCGGCGAUACCCGAAUGGUAGGAAACCCAGUGUAAGUUUCGACACACCAUCAUUAACCGAAUCCAUAGGUUAAUGAGGCGAACCGGGGGAACUGGAAACAUCUAAGUACCCCGAGAAAAGAAAUCAACCGAGAUUCCCCAGUAGCGGCGAGCGAACGGGGAGGAGCCCAGAGCCCGAAUCAGCAUAAGGCGUGUUACAGUGGAAGCGUUCGGAAAGGCGCGCGAUACAGGGUGACAGCCCCGGUACCAAUAAAAAGCGCGCAUGUGCUGUGAGCUCGAUGAGUAGGGCGACACGUGGUAUCCCGUUCGAAUAUGGGGACCAUCCUCCAAGGCUAAAUACUCCCGACUGACCGAUAGUGAACCAGUACCGUGAGGGAAAGGCGAAAAGAACCCCGGCGAGGGAGUGGAAAAGAACCUGAAACCGUGUACGUGUCAGUUAGUGGGGAGCACCCUUUGGUGACUGCGUACCUUUUGUAUAAUGGUCAGCGACUUAUACUUGCAGCAGCAAGGUUAACCGAAUAGGGGAGCCGGAGGGAAACCGAGUCUUAAUUGGGCGUUAAGUUGCAGGGUAUAGACCCGGAAACCCGGUGAUUCAGCCAUGGGCAGGUUGAAGGUUGGGUAACACUAACUGGAGGACCGAACCGACUAAUGUUGAAAAAAUUAGCGGAUGACCUGUGGCUGGGGGUGAAAGGCCAAUCAAACCCGGAGAUAGCUGGUUCCCUCCCCGAAAGCUAUUUAGUAGCGCCCGUGAAUUCAUCUCCGGGGUAGAGCACUGUUUCCGGCUAGGGGCCAUCCCGGCUACCAACCCGAUGCAAACUGCGAAUACCGGAGAAUGUUAUCACGGAGCAUCGGUCAUGGGUGCUAACGUCCGUCGGCGAGGGAAAACAACCCAGACCGCCAGCUAAGGUCCCAAAAGUCAUGGUUAAGGCGGGAAACGAUGUGGGAAGGCCCAGAAAUGUGAUGCUGGCUUAGGAAGCAGCCAUCAUUUAAAGAAAGCGUAAUAGCUCACUGGUCGUGAGUCGGCCUUGCGCGGAAGAUGCGGGCUAAACCAUGCACCGGUGCCGUGGCAGCGACACCAUUGUGUUGUUGCAGGGGAGCGCCCUGUAAGCCUGCGAAGGUGGCCUGUGAGGGUUGCUGGAGGUAUCAGAAGUGCGAAUGCUGACAUAAGUAACGAUAAAGCGGGUGAAAAAGCCCGCUCGCCGGAAAUAACACUGGCGGUUCCUGUCCAACGUUAAUCGGGGCAGGGUGAGUCGACCCCUGGGCGAGGCCGAAAGGCGUAGGUCGAUGGGAAACGGGCUAAUAUUCCCGUACUUGGUGUUACUGCGAAGGGGACGGAGAAGGCUAUGUUGGCCGGGCGACGGUUGUCCCGGUUUAAGCGCGUAGGUGUGUGUUCCGGUAAAUCCGGUUCACUUUACCACUGAGGCGUGACGAUUUAUGCGUACUACGGUGCUGAAGCGCAACAAAUGCCCUGCUUCCAGAAAGCCUCUAAGCAUCAGGUAACAUCAAAUCAAAAAUUCCAAACCGACACAGGUGGUCAGGUAGAGAAUACCAAGGCGCUUGAGUACUCGCGAAGGAACCAGGGCAAAAUGGUGCUGUAAUCUCGAGAAGGCACGCUGACAUGUAGGUGAAGUGAUUUACUCAUGGAGCUGAAGUCAGCGUCGAAGAUACCAGCUGGCUGCAACUGUUUAUUAAAAACACAGCACUGUGCAAACACGAAAGUGACGGCGCCGGUGUGACGCCCGCCCGGUGCCGGAAGGUUAAUUGAUGGGGGUCAGCGCAAAGCGAAGCUCCCUGAUCGAAGCCCCGGUAAACGGCGGCCGUAAACUAUAACGGUCCUUAAGGUAGCGAAAUUCCUUCUUGUCGGUAAGUUCGACCCGCACGAAUGGCGCAAUGAUGGCCGUAGUUGCCCACCCGAGACCAGUGAAAUUGAACUUCUGCUGUGAAGAUGCAGGUACCCGCGGCAAGACGGAAAGACCCCGUGAACCCUUACUAUAGCUUGACACUUAAUCAUUGAGCCUUGAUGUGGAUAGGUGGGAGGCUUUGAAGUGUGGACGCCAGUCUGCAUGGAGCCGACCUUGAAAUACCACCCCUUUAAUGUUUGAUGUUCUAACGUGGACCCGUGAUCCGCUGCGGACAAAGUGUUCGGUGGGUAGUUUGAUUCUGAAGUGUUCCUCCCAAAGAGUAACGGAGGAGCACGAAGUUGCUGGCUAAUCCCGGCCGACAUCAGAGGUUAGUGCAAUGGCAUAAGCCAGCUUGACUGCGAGCGUGACGGCGCGAGCAGGUGCGAAAGCAGGUCAUAUAGUGAUCCGCCGGGUGGUUCUGAAAUGGAAGGCCAUCGCUCAAACGGAUAAAGGUACCCGCCAAUAGGCUGAUGUAUCGCCCAAGAGUUCAUAUCGACGGGCGGUGUUUGGCACCUCGAUGUGUCGGCUCAUCACAUCCUCGGGCUGAAGUAGUCCUGGCAGGCGGCUGUUCGCCAUUUAAAGCGGUACGCGAGCUGGGUUUAGAACGUCGUGAGACAGUUCGGUCCCUCAUUCGCCGGGCGCUGGAGAACCGAGGGGCUUCUGCCCUAGUACGAGAGACCUCCGGGAGUGGACGCAUCACUGGUGUUCGCUGUCAUGCCAAUGGCACUGCCCGGUGCGGAAGCUAAAAUGCGGAAAUACAUGGCGCCGAAAGCAUCUGCCAACGAAAUCCUGCCCGAGAUGAGUUCUCCCCGAGUAUCAUGACUUCAGGAGUCUCCUGAAGGGAACGCUGAAGACGGUCGACGCCAGGCCGGGUGUGUAAGCGCAGCGAUGCGCUGAGCUAACCGGUACUAAUGAACCGUGAGGGCUUAACCUU
rnacentral:rRNA from 1 species